GAACGCUGGCGGCGUGCCUAAUACAUGCAAGUCGAACGGUCUUUUCUAUGGAAGCUUGCUUCCACUGAGAAGAUAGUGGCGAACGGGUGAGUAACACGUGGGUAACCUGCCCAUAAGAGGGGGAUAACAUCCGGAAACGGGUGCUAAUACCGCAUAGUUUUCUUGAUCGCAUGAUCGGGAAAGGAAAGACGGCCUUUGUGCUGUCGCUUAUGGAUGGACCCGCGGCGUAUUAGUUAGUUGGUGAGGUAACGGCUCACCAAGACGAUGAUACGUAGCCGACCUGAGAGGGUGAUCGGCCACAUUGGGACUGAGACACGGCCCAAACUCCUACGGGAGGCAGCAGUAGGGAAUCUUCCGCAAUGGACGAAAGUCUGACGGAGCAACGCCGCGUGAGUGAAAGAAGGUUUUCGGAUCGUAAAACUCUGUUGUCAGAGAAGAACAAGUUGGAGAGUAACUGCUCCAGCCUUGACGGUAUCUGACCAGAAAGCCACGGCUAACUACGUGCCAGCCGCCGC
rnacentral:rRNA from 1 species